GUGAGGACUUUCUGAUCCUGGCUCAUUCAGCUAGGCCAUGCAGCGGUGCCACCGGAGAGUGACAGCCCAGGAGAAGGACAUCUAGUUGGACCUACGGAAAGAGGUUUCUAUGUGGAUUCCAAGGAAGUCACAAUGUGAGGGCCCACGAGUGAGCAGAUUAGUUUCAGCUGCCAUUCCAGUCUUGCCUGAGAUGGAGGAAUUAACCCACCCCAAAUCCGGAGUGUCACUGCAGUGGAGGAACAUCUUCAGUAUUACACUCUGGCAUAGCUGCAUGGAGACUGAUUUAUGGCUGUUGAGGAUAAGGUCCAUGGUGCUUGGUAAUCUGUGUCUGACUUGGUUUAUGCAUCUAAUUAUUAUCAAGGCUUUUGGAAGCCAUCCUUGGGUCCCUUACGUAUUUCAGUGCAGUCAUGAGUUUCUCCCCAGUGCAAUUGUAUAUCUUCAUGCAUCGUUCCUUUUUCUCUUGCCUUUCGGUUUUCUAAGAGAUCUUAGAGUUCCACAGCCAAGAAGAACAAGAAAGAUGAGGCCUAUUUUCCCCAUUCUUUGAUCUCUAAUAAAUUGGAGCCAGUAAAUUAUAUCUGCUAGCA
rnacentral:lncRNA from 1 species